GAUGAACGCUGGCGGCGUGCCUAAUACAUGCAAGUCGAGCGAACAGACGAGGAGCUUGCUCCUCUGACGUUAGCGGCGGACGGGUGAGUAACACGUGGAUAACCUACCUAUAAGACUGGGAUAACUUCGGGAAACCGAAGCUAAUACCGGAUAAUAUAUUGAACCGCAUGGUUCAAUAGUGAAAGACGGUUUUGCUGUCACUUAUAGAUGGAUCCGCGCCGCAUUAGCUAGUUGGUAGGGUAACGGCUUACCAAGGCAACGAUGCGUAGCCGACCUGAGAGGGUGAUCGGCCACACUGGAACUGAGACACGGUCCAGACUCCUACGGGAGGCAGCAGUAGGGAAUCUUCCGCAAUGGGCGAAAGCCUGACGGAGCAACGCCGCGUGAGUGAUGAAGGUCUUCGGAUCGUAAAACUCUGUUAUUAGGGAAGAACAAAUGUGUAAGUAACUAUGCACGUCUUGACGGUACCUAAUCAGAAAGCCACGGCUAACUACGUG
rnacentral:rRNA from 1 species